AUUGAACGCUGGCGGCAGGCCUAACACAUGCAAGUCGGGCGAGCAGCGGCCUGGUGAGUAAUGUAUGGGGUCUGCCUGAUGGCGGGGGCUGACUACUGGAAACGGUCGCUAAUACCGCAUACCAUCGGCUAACCGAUGUGGGAUUAGCUAGUAGGUGAGGUAACGGUGCACGUGUGCGACGAUCCCUAGCGGGUCUGAGAGGAUGAUCAGUCACACUGGGACUGAGACACGGCCCGGAGUCCGACGGAGUAAGCAGUGGGGAAUAUGUCACAAUGGGAGCAAGUGUGAUGCAGCCAUGCCGCGUGUAUGAAGAAGGCCUUAGGGUUGUAAAGUACUUUCAGUCGGGAGGGGGUACCGACAGAAGAAGCACCGGCUAACUCCGUGCCAGCAGCCGCGGUAAGAC
rnacentral:rRNA from 1 species